AGCAAAAAGUAAGAAUCCUUACUGAAGUCAGCUCUCCCAGAUUUCCCUCUAUGGUACACAGUGGAGAAAGGAAGAUAAAAUCGUUCCUUUCCAAAUUCAAAUUGUCAGGAAAAACAUUUGUAAGAAUUAGACCUUUGAACUGUGACUCAUGGAUUUGCUUAUGGGUACCAAUUGGUUAUUGAUCCUUUCCCAGAAACAGUUAGUGCCUUUUUAUUUGUCUAGUGGUGUGUGCUGAGAGCCUAGCUUGCCUUUCUGCCUGCCUGGGACGUGUAGGUUCUUAUAUGCACAGGCAGGUGAAUCUUCAGGUUGGGGGCUCUAAAAUAUGGCUGAACAGAACUGUGUAAAAAAGAGAGUAACUGUGACUUAAAGUAAAAUGGUCGUUCCAGAGUGAGAAGGAAGAAAAGCAAGAAUGGAUAAGAGUGUUGCAGAAAAAGAAUCUUGGGAGAUUCAUGGAAAAGACUCUGAGAACAACUCUGGAAUACAGAUUUCUGAUAACUUGAAGAUCAUGGAACUGAAUGGGAGAAGAAUUUCCAGAACUAAUGGAAAAACUGGAUUCAAGAAAAUGAGAAUAAAAAGCAUAUCUCCUGCCAUCGUCCCAAAUGAUUUCUACCUCAGACUGCACUGACAAACGUGAAGGAGACUUCCACGGAGGGCAAGGACCAGAAUCUUAAUCACAUCAUUCAAAGAAGCUGCUCUUAUCACAAAACAGGACAGACUCAAAAGGGGUAUACCAGAUCACACCAAUUUCCUUCCUGCCUUGAAAUGAUAAAAAAAAAAAAUCAAGCUCUAGGAGGACACAGCUGACUAAGGAAUGUUGCUUUAGGUGGACAGAGGAAUAGAGAUUCUCACUCAUGCCCAAGGGUGGGUGAAGAAGGGAAAGGAAGGUAAUUUAAGUGGGUACCUUGAAAAAUAGGGGGCUUCUGAGAGAUGAAACAAAUUUGCCAUUCCUUGGAUGUAGCUUAAGAACAGAAACCUCAGAGAUGUACCCCCUUCAAGGAGUUCUGGGGAAAGAGUAAAAAUAAAUAAAUGGCACAUGUGGACGACA